rnacentral:rRNA from 1 species
UGCCGCGUGGAGGAUUAAGGCCCUCUGGGUUGUAAACUCCUUUUAUCUGGGAAGAAAUGCAUUUUUUCUAAAGUGCUUGACGGUACCAGAGGAAUAAGCACCGGCUAACUCCGUGCCAGCAGCCGCGGUAAUACGGAGGGUGCAAGCGUUAUCCGGAUUCACUGGGUUUAAAGGGUGCGUAGGCGGGCAGGUAAGUCCGUGGUGAAAUCUCUGAGCUUAACUCAGAAACUGCCAUGGAUACUAUUUGUCUUGAAUAUUGUGGAGGUAAGCGGAAUAUGUCAUGUAGCGGUGAAAUGCUUAGAUAUGACAUAGAACACCAAUUGCGAAGGCAGCUUACUACACAGUUAUUGACGCUGAGGCACGAAAGCGUGGGGAUCAAACAGGAUUAGAUACCCUGGUAGUCCACGCCCUAAACGAUGAUUACUCGACAUCAGCGAUACACUGUUGGUGUCUGAGCGAAAGCAUUAAGUAAUCCACCUGGGAAGUACGAUCGCAAGAUUGAAACUCAAA